UUAUAACUGCUCUGUUUUACUAUAUAUUUUUUAACUAUAGCCUCUAAGAAUCUGAGAACUCUUAUUGUAAGCAAACACCAUUCCUAAUCUAACAAUUCAAGUUCAUUACUUAAUAUAUGUCCAGUGCCAAGAAGACUUUAUGGCAUCGUGGUUUGCAAGACUUGAGAAUUUUUCAGUAGUAGGUAUCUUUUCUUCCCAAGAUUUCUCUAUUUGAGGGUGAAUCUUGUGCUUCUGUGCCCAGAGCAUACAGAGGCCAGAAUCACUGUCGGAGUCAUACAGCAAAUCUGGGUUUCUGCUAUUACUCUGUCUGUACGCUUUAAUGUAUCCUGGCAGAAAAAGUAAUAGUUGUUCUUUUGGUCCUUUGCAUCCCCACACACGCUGACAAUGUGAGUAACUUAGGAACGUUUUUGGAGAGAGAUGUCUUGUCUUUUGCAGCACUGAUUAAUCACAAAUUUAUCUUGGAAAGCUGCAGAACUGUCAAAUGGAUGUCUUAUUUAAUGACUUAGCUUAAAUUUGAACAAGAGCCAAGAGGCCAAACACCAUGUUCUAAAAAUGUCACCGAUUCAUUUAUUCUGUGACUUUGCUUUCAUUUUUUUCCUCUAUCUCCCCCAAACCUUGGGAAUGCAUUUACUUUUCAAAUAAACCACAUGUCUAUUUGGCAAGACUGGAUUUUAAGAAAUCAUUAUGUGACUAAGGUUUAAGCUCCUCAUUCGCUUUUUCAGAAAUCUCAGGAUUUCUUCUGACUUUUUCUGUUUCAUCUUCUUCCACUUGUCAUUCUGAGCAACUGUGUCUACAUUCUCAGUUCUGUCUUCCUCCAUUAACCAUCUGUGUUUAGCUCUACAUAACCAAAUCUCUUUUGUGUUCAUUCUUAAAAUAUGCUUCUUUGAAGUAGCUGUUCUUUAAGUGCUUUAAGGUCUUACCAUAAAAAUGCUAUUUAAGAAAAAUAUCAUUAUAGAUGUUUCAUGGAUGUGGAAGCUGACAUAGACAGAAAGAGUGACUUGCUCACAGUAAUUUACUACUGGUAAAAUUAAUGAUAUUUUAGCCUCCAGAAUCUCAAUCUAUUGAGCAGUUGAAUGUUCUACUUUCCUUCUUUAAUACCUUCAAAACACAGUAUGUUCCUCUAAUUUUCUGCCUUCCAAAACUCCAUACAUGCCAAAUUCAAUUUUAUCUGUUGUAUUUUACUCUCUCCUUAAUCAUUAUUUAUCUAGACUCUACGUUGACCAAGGUUGAACAUUUGUGCCUUUUAUUUGUAACUUUUCGCUACACUGUUGUAAGUAUGUUCAUGCUGUACUUGCAGUAAGAAAGCCAGUGGGAUAUUAGGCAUUUUCAGUGAUGAGUAGCUAAGUAUUGAGAUAGAUAGUUUGGAACUAACUUUAUUUUUUUAUCCAUGCAUCAUAAAAUGUAUGUGCGUUUGUGUAAACAAUAGCUAUUGCCCCAUCAGAACAAUUGUUUAAAUUAGUGGUAUGUACUACAGUAACAUGGUAACUAGAAGGUAGUUUGCUUUACCAGUACAUUCUGCAUAAGCUCAGUACUUUGACUUUGUUGCAGUUUUAGGUCUUCAUAAUUCUUGAACUGUUUCUCUACAUGCUCUAGCACUCACAUUGCAGCCUCAGAUGUAGGAGAGCAUGAAUUUCUGUAACAAGCUGACUGCUGGCUACCCCCGAUAGUUGAUGAGAAUCCUUUGGACCAGAAAAGGGCUUUUUAGUCAGCAGAGGGCUCCCCAUCCUGUAAUAAAUGAUGUUGCUUGAUAAUACAGAAAAAAAACAUACUGGAGUUAGGAAAUCUGGGUGAGGUUUCAUGAGCCGAUUAUUUUCUUCAAAUUCAUCCUUUGUGCUUUAAUGUACUGUAAAGUAAGAGAGUCUGUAUUGCUUCGUAGGGUGUUACGAGAAUAAAAAUUUACUGUUUCUGAUCAUCUGGGCUAUACAGAAGUCUGAAAUAAUAAGAAGUGGCCGGAUACGAAAUCUGAAUUACUGGAAAGACAGUCGAUUUUGACGUCUGUUUCACAUGCUCAGAAACAUUUUACAUUUAUGCAGAUAUUUGUUUAUUGGUGAAGUUAACUAUGUUGCUGUCCCUGAAAAAUUACGGAUGGGAAAGAUCCACAUCUGGAUUUAGUUCUAAGCUUUCUGACAUCAUUUUAAUGUAUGUAUAUGCAUACACAUUUGCUGUAAUGGAUAUGAAAUGCCUUUAACUUUGGAAAAUGUGGGUUCCAUUCCAUUGGUCAAUUAAAUCGACAUUGGUCAAUUAAUUGACAUUGGUCAAUUAAAUCACUUAGAAGAGCAGGGACUGGUUUUAAGAUUGUCCUGUGAUUCCAUGCCUUAAUUUUGAAUACUUUAAUGUGACUUCUGUCAUUAGAGGAUGAAAAAGGAAUGGACAGUUACCAUUAUAGUGUCUUUAUAUCUUGAUGUAUUUUUUCUAAAUUUAAACUUUUGGUUUUAUAAAUGGUAACAUAUUUACUAGAGAUAAUGUCAUAUUUGUAAUUUAUGUUGUAAGUAACAAUAGCUUCAAAUUAAGUAUCUUUGAAAUCAUUAAAUAUAUGUGUAUAUGAGAUUACAGUUUUAUAUUCACAUGUUCAUAUUUGUCAUUUAUAAUACUACCUUUACACAAGGUAAGCUUCAGUGUACAUUUUGUCAUUUCAAAACUGUUGAAGUGAGUGUAUAAGUGAAUAUAUGCAUAAAUAUUUUGACUUGUGAAGAAGAGAUUCCUUUGACACUUCAUUUCACGGAUAUUCAAACCAUGAAAAAUUGGUUGCUCUUUUUCUAUACACUGCUUGUCCUCAGGCAAAAUAAGCUCUAAUUUUAAAACCUUAAAACUAAAACCCCAUGUAGUCAGUUAACCCAAAAGCACAAGUAAAGAAUAUGGUUUUUUGAAAAUAGUCAGCCUCAGAAGAAACUGAUUUGGAUGAUAGCAGAAAACUUCUAAAAGAAAGUUAUGGUUUUUUAAAGUAGUUUCUGUUCUAUCCUUUUUAUAAAUUACUUGGAGUUUAUACUGGCAAAGCUGGAAUUUGCCGCUGCUACUUCAGGUGAGGUACACAGGUAAAGAAAUAGAAAACCUUGCUAUAAAAAGCAUGUGACAAAUAUUCAUGCAAGUAAAUUUCUCCAUAGGUAAAACAUUAAGUUUAAUUUCUAUGCAUGUAACUCUCAAUGUCUGAAAAAUAUUUAAUCUGUCAUUUUAGUGUAUCAUGAGGCAGCAUUUGAUCUUUCCACAAAGAUUAGUCCUUUACCAAUUAAGCCUUUUACUAGUUUGAAUCAAAGACCUUUCAGUCAGUUGAACGUUUCUGAUCUGCCGCAAUAAAAACAUGUAUUUUGUUUAUUAACCAGCCAGACAUAAAAUGAUCCACAUACAACCUUGCUUGUGCAUUGCUUAUUCCUGCCCUGACACAUUCCAGCUGGCUCACUGAUUUGUCUUCUACUAAUUUUUUUGAUCAGACUUACAAAAGUAUGUUUUUAAGGGAAUAAAGUAUAGUGUGUGAGUCAGUUUUGAAGAUCUGUCGCGGAAAAUUUAUGUGUUGCAAUUAAAAUUUACUUCUCUCGCCUUUGUGUUCGCUAGAUAGCCCCAACAGCACAAUAGUAGAUGAGUCCUUUGUCUCACCACUACUGUUGAAAGACCAGCAUUAGUUAAAAUCAUCAGUAUCAAUAUCCUUUGGGGACAGUGGUACAGGCAGAGGUAA